UACGGAGGGGGCUAGCGUUGUUCGGAAUUACUGGGCGUAAAGCGCGCGUAGGCGGCUUUGUAAGUUAGAGGUGAAAGCCCGGAGCUCAACUCCGGAACUGCCUUUAAGACUGCAUCGCUAGAACGAUGGAGAGGUAAGUGGAAUUCCGAGUGUAGAGGUGAAAUUCGUAGAUAUUCGCAAGAACACCAGUGGCGAAGGCGGCUCACUGGCCCGGUACUGACGCUGAGGUGCGAAAGCGUGGGGAGCAAACAGG
rnacentral:rRNA from 1 species